rnacentral:rRNA from 1 species
UACAUGGGGUGCAAACGUUGCUCGGAAUUAUUGGGCGUAAAGCGCACGUAGGCGGUUCGUUAAGUCGGAUGUGAAAGCCCUCGGCUCAACUGAGGAAGUGCACCCGAAACUGGAGUGCUCGAGCGUGGGAGAGGAAAGCGGAAUUCCUGGUGUAGCGGUGAAAUGCGUAGAUAUCAGGAGGAACACCUGCGGUGUAGACGGCUUUCUGGACCAUUGCUGACGCUGAGACACGAAAGCGUGGGUAGCAAACAGG